UACGGAGGGGGCUAGCGUUGUUCGGAAUUACUGGGCGUAAAGCGCACGUAGGCGGCUUUGUAAGUUAGAGGUGAAAGCCCGGGGCUCAACCCCGGAACUGCCUUUAAGACUGCAUCGCUUGAAUCCAGGAGAGGUGAGUGGAACUGCGAGUGUAGAGGUGAAAUUCGUAGAUAUUCGCAAGAACACCAGUGGCGAAGGCGGCUCACUGGCCCGAUACUGACGCUGAUGCACGAAAGCGUGGGGAGCAAACAGG
rnacentral:rRNA from 1 species